rnacentral:ncRNA from 1 species
UCGCUGCUAUUCGAAUCAACGUGUGCGGUCUCACAACGUGUGGUCUCAAUUACCUGAUUGAUUCUGUCAGCGCUAUAUGCUCAGUUUAAAGAUUAAGCCAUGCAUGUCGAGUUCAUCUUUGAAGAGAAACUGCGAACGGCUCAUUAGAGCAGAUGUCAUUUAUUCGGAACGACCUUUUGGAUAACUGCGGUAAUUCUGGAGCUAAUACAUGCAACGUUGUUUCCGUAAAGCAUCGCGGUUUCUGUGAUGUCUCGUGUUCUCUGGACGGCCCUUGAAAAACCAAGGAAGGCUAUUAAUCUGUGCUGCAUCGUACCGAUAUCCGCAUCAGGUCUCCAAGGUGAACAGCCUCUAGUCGAUAGAAUAAUGUAGGUAAGGGAAGUCGGCAAAUUAGAUCCGUAACUUCGGGAAAAGGAUUGGCUCCAGUGACCGGGUCGGUUGGCCUGUUAACUGAUGCUUGUGCGGUUUCGUCCGUGGCUGGCUGAUGCUCACGCUGAUGCUGGACUAGUGACAAGACUGCCUUGUGGACGUUUUCAGGUGUGUGCUUUGUUUUCGGACUUAGUAUCCUGACCGACCAUCAAAACGGUCGAACUGGAACUGGUACGGACUCGGGGAAUCCGACUGUCUAAUUAAAACAGAGGAGACAGAUGGUCCUUGCGGACGUUUACUGUCUCUGAUUUCUGCCCAGUGCUCUGAAUGUUAAAUCGUAGUAAUUCGAGUAAGCGCGGGUAAACGGCGGGAGUAACUAUGACUCUCUUAAGGUAGCCAAAUGCCUCGUCAGCUAACUACUGACGCGCAUGAGGGGACGAUGGCGGCCACCUCCACGUGGUGUCCCUGGGUAACGCUAAGCGCCGCCGAAUUUCGGGGGGU